rnacentral:lncRNA from 1 species
CCCAAGCGAGUCAGAGGAGUUCCAGGUGGCCACACAUGGGCUGACCCAGUCAAGAGCAUGGCUGGGAACUGAGGGCCUGGAGGCCCUGGGCACACACAAGAGCAGGAAGCUGCCAGCAGCCCUCACAGGCCUAGGGUUUCUCAGAAGCACACUCUGAUGAUCCUCACAGUACCCCAGCCCAGGCCCCACAGCUGCUCCCCAGGGCAGCAGGAGCUCGGCAGCAUUACAGCCGACUACAGCCCCCCCACAGCCCAGACGCACUCACGCAGGCUAACAAAGGGUGCCCCAAAGUCCUGGGAGAGAAGCAAAGCGGAGACAAGGGGACAGAGCGCCCGCCUUCCCUCCCAGGGCUGUGAGGGGACCCCAGUGAGGGGACUGCAGCUGCCCCAGCUCCACGGCGCAACUGAGCUUCAGAGAGCACACGCCCGGGCCUCACACGCUGGGCCUCCUGGCCUCAGCUUGCCUACCCUGUGAGGACGACCACGAAGUCCAUGACGUUCCAGCCGUUCCGCAGUUCCAGUUCCUGCGUCCUCCCCUUGUUCCUGCCAGCGGGGGAUGGCAUCACGCAGGCAUGGUGAAUCCUGGCCCUUGGGACUUCCCUGCGCCUUGCACAGAUCGCACAGAUUGUGGUAGAUGGUCCCUUGCAAGUGUCAUCCUGCCUGAUGCAUCACCACCGAGGAAGCGACCGAAGUCAGAGACAGAGGAUGCUGCCACUCCCCAAGAAUGAAGCCGGUAGGGGAUAUUAUUGGACUUCGUAUGUGAUGGCAAUGACUCAACAGAAAGAAAAAUUGCUGAUGCAAGAAAAAGAGUGUCUUGCCUCGUCCAGGCAAGAGGGCAUCAGACUUGGGACAGCUCACUCGAGGCAGGGAAAGAAAAGCGGGUCGCACGAUUGCAGGCACAGGCACUAGGGCUCUGUGGAAGACACAGAGGAUCCCAGCAUCCAAGCACGGUGCAGCCCCUCCCGGACUUCCGCAUCUCAGAGGUCAUCACUGUCCAGAAUUUUGUGUUCACCGUUCCCUUUCUCUCUGUACAUCUACGUGCAAUUUAUUGUGCAGUUGUACAUGCUUUUGAAAUUCAUUUCUUUUUAAAAAAAAUAAAAAGUCUCGAUCUGUUGCCCAUGCUGGAGUGCAGUGGUGCCAUCUCAGCUUGCUACAACCUCUACCUCCUGGGUGUAAGCAAUUCUUGUGCCUCAGUCUCUGAGUAGCUGGGACUAUAGGAGUGCGCCACCACAACUGGCUAAUUUUUUGUAUUUUCAUAGAAGACAGGGUUUUACCAUGUUGUCCAGGCUGGUCUCGAACUCCUGAGCUUAGGCAAUCCGCCCACCUGGGCUUCCCAAAGUGCGGGGAUUACAGGUGUGAGCCACCUCGCCCAGUCCCAUGCUUUUGAAAUUCACACAAGAGAGCUAAGCUGUCGUCCUGUGGUGCUGCAGCGCACUGUGUUGUUGGGUGUAGCUGUGAAUCACUUGUUUUCACCACAUAUGUUAGUCUGUCGUGUGACAAUUUAUUGAUCCAUUCUACUUUGACGGAGAUUUGUGCUGCUGUCCAAUUCCUGCCAUUUCAAUUCUCCAAUGAACAUUUAAUGUCAUUCUCCUGGUGCUUGGACAAGAGCCUGCAGGUCUAACCCGAGGAGAGAAAUUGCUGGGCCAUGGGACGUGCCUCUCGACCUCACUGGAUGCUGCUAACUUAGGGCCCGAAGUGCAGCGAUGACCGUCCCGCAGCACCACACAGACCCUAGCUCGCUUGGCAUUGUCUCCAACACUCUAGUGUUAUCAGCCUUCAUGUUUUUGUCAGUCUGGUAGGCAUUUCAGGUCCCUCACUCUGUUUUAAUCUGCUUUUUCCUGCUCACUAAUGGAGUAGGGCAUUUUCUCACAUUCCUUGCCCAUUCACGUCUUCCCCUUUGCCAAAACGCCUGUUCAAAUCUUCCACCCACUUUUCAACUGGAUUCUGUCUCUCCUUCUGAUUGACUUGUCGAAGUCCUUACAUGUUCUGGGCACAAAUCCUCCAUCAGAUGUGUAUAGUUGCAGUAUCUUCUCUCACUCUGUGAUUUGUCUUUUGCUUAUUUCAUGAUUCUUUUGAUAUGUAGAAGUUCCUCAUUAUACUGUAACCGAAAUAUAUCCAGCUUUUCCCUAUGUUUUGUGCUUUUUGAAUCCUAGGAAAUUCUUCCUUUGUUCAUUGUUGUGAGAGAUUCUUUGGGAGAUUUGAGAAUAGAUUCUCCUAUAUUCUCUUCUAAAAUUUGUGCAGUUUUGCUUUUUCUAUUUUAAACCACUUGCAAAUGAUUUUUCUGUAUGAUGUGAGGCAGGCGCCAUUUUCAUCAUCUUAAUAUAAUUAAAUUGUCAUGACACCAUUCACAGAAGGGCCCCAACUGUCUGCUCUCUGCUCUGCUCAGACGAACUCUUCACCUGCUCUGGGCCAAUACUCCCUGCACUGAUUACAAAAGUCUUAUUAAAAGGUUAAUGCCUCUACCUGGGUUCUUCUUUGAAUUUUUUUUUUUUUUUCAGACAGGCUCUCACUCUGUCGCCCAGGCUGGAGUGCAAUGGCUGGAGUGCAAUAGCACAAUCUCAGCUCACUGCAGCCUCCACCUCCCGGGCUCAAGCAAUCCUCCUACCUCAGCUUCCCGAGUAGCUGGGACCACAGGUGUGCACCACCAUGCCCAGCUAAUUUUUGUAUUUUUUAUAGAGCCAAG